UUUAUUUUUCUUUUUACUUAAACCCCCGAUUGUGUAAAAUUUGCCCUACACACUCAUUUACCAAAUCUGAUUUCGCUCGAUCGUGAUUUGGAGAAUCCAAGAGAUCGUGAUUUCUCUCGCUCGCUCUUCUCUCCAUUCACUUGUUAUUUUACGAAGCACAGAGGAAAAUCCAAGAGAGAGAAAGAGAUUGAGGCCAUAUGAUUUGGAUCUCUUUUGAUCUGAAUCGGUUUUAGGUCUUCGUGAUCUGGAUAGUCUGAUGCAAUUGCUCUGCCCUAGUUCGUUAGAUGAUCUGAUUUAAUCUAAUCUAAUGCUAUUGUUAUGUUCGAUUAGAGCUUGGAUUUCAGAAAUGGAGCAACGACCAAGGGCAAUGAACAGGUUUGCAGACUUUGAGUUCAAGUUAUAAUUUUUGCGGUAAACAUUCAAUCGAAAUUCAAACUGAAACCCUAGCAUCUUUUGCACAUUCAGCAGGGCCAAACUAGUGUUGCCACCAUUUCUUUUGCAAGAAUGUGAUUAUUUCGAUAGACAGAAGAUGAAGAUGAAGUUAAAAAAAAAUUAUGCAUGGAGAGCAAUAUAAGUUUCUUAAUAAAAACCUUGAAAAAUGAUGAGCUGAAACUUGAUGAGGAGAAUGAUGAGAAGGAGAUUGACAGGAAGAAAAAGGAUGAGCUUCAUGUUAAGGAGAAAGAUGAGAAGGGGAAGAAUGAUGAAGAGGAGAUGGUUGGGAGAAGGAGAUGGAUGAAGAGGAGCUUGUUGAAAGAAGAAGCAAGAGUCCAAUAAACCAUCAUUUCCACCAUUCCAGAGUUCGAUAGUGGUGGCGGUGGCGGAAUGACGGUUGAUGGUGGAGAGUGCCGUGGUAUUGUUGGUGGUAUGACUACAUCAAGUUUCCAAUUAAGGUUGUUAUGCUUUCCGUCUAUAGCAUCUAUUUUUUGACUCAGGUUGUCAAGCUUUCCAUCUUUUUUUUUUCUUUUUUUUUUUGGUUAUAGAAAAAUCUCAUUGAAACAUGUUUAAUUUAAGGUUUCAAUCAAAAAAUCUCAUUGAAGAAUUGUCAAUUUUAUUGAAGUUUUGUUUAAUUUCUUGUCUAGGUUUAUGUUUAUUUCAGUGUUUAUAACUCUGUUUAUAUUAAUAAAACAUGUUUAUAUUAGUUAAACUCUUGUCUAUCUUUGGGUUUAAACUCUGGUCUAUCUUUAAGUUUGAAGUUUUUUUUUUUAAUUUUUUUUUUAUUUUGUUUGAUAAUUUUAAAUUAAAGUAAAAUUAUAAUAAAAAAAACAUAAAAUAAAAUAUGAUGAGAAAAUUGCAUUGUCGGUCUAUAAAAUCAAUUUGAUGAAAUCCGGACGAGAAAGAAACAAAACACCCGUGAAGGAAGAGGAAUGGGACAUGCUUCUCCACUCGAUGUCGGAGCAGAUAUUGACUUCUUAAAUAAUAUUUUUUAUUUAUACAUAUGUAGACUUACGCAUAAAUAAUUUAAUUAAAAAUGAUAAAAUAUAGCAUGACAAUUUUGUUUAAUUUGUGUAUUACUUUAGAUCAAUGCUAGUUUGAUAAUAAAUAAAUAAAUAUAAUGUCAAUUUUGAUAUCCUUAUAAUAGUAUUUUGAAAAUAUAAGAUUAUAGAGUUUCUUGUAAGCACCAUA